CGGGGUGCAGCAGGCGCGAAAACUUUGCACUAAGCGAAAGCUUGACAGGGCUAUCCCGAGUGCCAUCCGCUGAGGAAGGCUUUUACCCAGUCUAGAACGCUGGGGGAAUAAGGAGAGGGCAAGUCUGGUGUCAGCCGCCGCGGUAAUACCAGCUCUCCGAGUGGUGUGGAUGUUUAUUGGGCCUAAAGCAUCCGUAGCUGGCUAAGUUAGUCCCUUGUUAAAUCCACCGAAUUAAUCGUUGGAUUGCGGGGGAUACUGCUUGGCUAGGGGACGAGAGAGGCAGACGGUAUUUUCGGGGUAGGGGUGAAAUCCUAUAAUCCCGGGAAGACCACCAGUGGCGAAGGCUGUCUGCUAGAACGCGCCCGACGGUGAGGGAUGAAAGCUGGGGGAGCGAACCGGAUUAGAUACCCGGGUAGUCCCAGCUGUAAACGAUGCAGGCUAGGUGUUUGGACGGCCACGUGCCGUUCUAGUGCCGCAGGGAAGCUGUUAAGCCUGCCGCCUGGGGAGUACGAUCGCAAGAUUGAAACUUAAAGGAAUUGGCGGGGGAGCAC
rnacentral:rRNA from 1 species